rnacentral:rRNA from 1 species
GUCAGUUCGUACUGUGAAGCAUCCUGUUAAGUCAGGCAACGAGCGAGACCCAGCCCACAGUUGCCAGCGUACUCUCUGGAGUGACGGGUACACUGUGGGACCGCCGCUGCUAAAGCGGAGGAGGAAUGGGCAACGGUAGGUCAGUAUGCCCCGAAUAUCCCGGGCUACACGCGAGCUACAAUGGUUGGUACAAUGGGUAUCUACCCCGAAAGGGGACGGGAAUCUCCUAAAACCAAUCUUAGUUCGGAUUGAGGGCUGCAACUCGCCCUCAUGAAGCUGGAAUCCGUAGUAAUCGCGUUUCAACAGAACGCGGUGAAUACGUCCCUGCUCCUU